rnacentral:lncRNA from 1 species
GUUAUGGAUAAGUAUCGUUGCUUUUUAGAAAAAUAUUACGCUUCUGUUUGGUGGCGCCACAAACAAAUCAUUGAACGACAAGAAGAAGAAGGUAAAGUUUUUAAUAGAGAAAGAAAUACACAAAGUUCAUCUAUUCUGGAGAAAGAACACCGGAGAAUGGAUUUCCAUUCAGUAAUGGAAACAUUUGCAGAAGCUUGGGUUGCAGCUAACACACAAACUCCAUUGACAGAAGCCGCAGAAGCUCAGGUAGGCUAUAUCACAGUUCACUUUUCCUCAUUUGCUUUUUUUUUUUUUUUUUAAAUAAAUUUUUACAUUCAUUCUUUGAGAUUUAAAAUGCCG